GACGAACGCUGGCGGCAUGCCUAACACAUGCAAGUCUAGGGGUAGCAAUACCACUGGCGCACGGGUGAGUAACACGUAGGUUAUCUGCCCCCAUCACAGACAUAACCCCGGGAAACCGGGGCUAAUAUCUGAUGAGGUCGCGAGAUCAAAGCUUCGGCGGAUGGGGAUGAGCCUGCGGCUGAUUAGCUAGUUGGUGAGGUAAUGGCUCACCAAGGCGACGAUCAGUAGCUGGUCUGAGAGGACGAACAGCCACACUGGAACUGAGACACGGUCCAGACUCCUACGGGAGGCAGCAGUGAGGAAUAUUGGUCAAUGGGAGCAAUCCUG
rnacentral:rRNA from 1 species